rnacentral:rRNA from 1 species
UGAGGAAUAUUGGACAAUGGGUUAGCGCCUGAUCCAGCCAUCCCGCGUGAAGGACGACGGCCCUAUGGGUUGUAAACUUCUUUUGUAUAGGGAUAAACCUAGAUACGUGUAUCUAGCUGAAGGUACUAUACGAAUAAGCACCGGCUAACUCCGUGCCAGCAGCCGCGGUAAUACGGAGGGUGCAAGCGUUAUCCGGAUUUAUUGGGUUUAAAGGGUCCGUAGGCGGACUCGUAAGUCAGUGGUGAAAUCUCAUAACUCAACUAUGAAACUGCCAUUGAUACUGCGGGUCUUGAGUAAGGUAGAAGUGGCUGGAAUAAGUAGUGUAGCGGUGAAAUGCAUAGAUAUUACUUAGAACACCAAUUGCGAAGGCAGGUCACUAUGUCUUAACUGACGCUGAUGGACGAAAGCGUGGGGAGCGAACAG